rnacentral:lncRNA from 1 species
UUGUGGGUUUGUUCCAACAGCAUUUGCCUUCGUCUUCUGGGGCUGUACCGCGUAAUGAAGCUCUAAAUGAUCAACCUCCGAUGCUUCCUCCUUUUGGGGCUCCGCCUACUGCUGAGGCUUCGCCGACUACUGAGACUUCUCCUAAGCAGCCUUUGUGAAGGCUCCCUCUUGUAGCUUUUUUCUGCUUAAUGUUCGUUUUUUUUUUUAUGAAAAUGAAUGUAAAAAUACCUUGCAUAACUGUCAGUGUUUUAAAAAUAAACCCACACAAAAAACAAUUAAACAAGCAACAAAUAAAAAUGACAAUCAUGGCAAAAUAAAACUACAGAAAAGGGAAGGUUUUUAGAAAUGCAAAACUGAUUGUGGAGCGAUUAAAAAAAUUCCUUAUUUGAAUACAUGGGUUGCCUCCCAAGAAGCG